ensembl:lncRNA
CUUAGUUUAGCUAAGCUGUUUACCAUGGCGGAGGCAGAUAGAUAUACCUUUGGACCAAGUCUCUCUCCAACCUACCUAAAUUGUCAUACGACGACGUCCUUAGGAUCGUAAAUCAACACUGACGUGUCGAAACAUCCAAACUACGUAAGGGAUAUAAGUUAUUCUUGGAGAAGUACAUUUUUAAUUACAGAGACACAUGACUACCACUUCACAGGGGAGAAAAGCGUGCCAACACCUCUGUCGUUCACCAGUGUUCUGCAGUCGUGGCACCGACAAAGGACACAGGUUUAUGUGGAUACCUCAGGCAUAGCCAAACAUCCUGUAUAGUCAACUCAAUAAUAGUAUUUGAAGUUCUAGUAUAUAGACAGACGCGACUAACACUGACUUAAGUGUUGCUACACUGACGAUAUGAUUUAUGUGCUGACAUCUUUUUUUUUUGCUCCAGGGAACACAUACAUGGACACAUACCUCCUGAAUGCCAAAUGAAUAUAACCGAGGGACAAACACACCCCAUUUCAUUUAUUUAUUUCUGUUAAAUGUAUAUUUACAUUUAUAUUUUAAUCAAAGAAUUGGAAACGAACACUCCUGAACAUUUGUUUAAGGUAUCACACUCUGAGCACCUUUAAAACAAGACUGAAGACUUUUAUGUUUGCAUUAGCUUUCUGCUAAAUCUUAAAUACAUUGAACUUUCUUAAAAGCUUCUUUAACUUUGCCAUUAUUUUCUAUUUUAAUAGUAAAAUGCCUUUUUUAACUUUCUAUUUUACUAAUUUCUUUGCAUAUGUUUUCUUUUACUUAUCUAUUAUUUUAUUGUAUGACAAUGUUUAUAUGUGAAGCACUUUGAGUCUGCCUAGUGUAUGAAAAGUGCUAUUUAGAUAAAGUUGCCUUGCCUAACACACACAGAACAUUUCAUUUCUUUCUGUUGAAUGUAAAUAUGUAUAUAUGUAAAUUUAAAAAAAAGAACUUACCCCUUAUAUUUUAUUUGACGAAGACAACAGUGUUACCCCUUAUGUUUUUUUUCAUGACGACCAAUAAAAAACGACAGUGUUACCCCUUAUGUUUUUAUUCAUGACGACCAAUAAAAAAACAACACUGUUACCCCUUAUGUUUUUUUUCAUGACGACCAAUAAAAAACUACAGUGUUACCCCUUAUGUUUUUAUUCAUGACGUCCAAUAAAAAAACAACAGUGUUACCCCUUAUGUUUUUUUUCAUGACGACCAAUAAAAAACAACGGUUUUACCCCUUAUGUUUUUUUUCAUGACGACCAAUAAAAAACAACAGUGUUACCCCUUAUGUUUUUUUU